UACGAAGGGGGCUAGCGUUGUUCGGAAUUACUGGGCGUAAAGCGUAUGUAGGCGGAUCUUUAAGUCAGGGGUGAAAUCCCGAGGCUCAACCUCGGAACUGCCCUUGAUACUGGAGAUCUGGAGUCCGGGAGAGGUGAGUGGAACUGCGAGUGUAGAGGUGAAAUUCGUAGAUAUUCGCAAGAACACCAGUGGCGAAGGCGGCUCACUGGCCCGGUACUGACGCUGAAAUACGAAAGCGUGGGGAGCAAACAGG
rnacentral:rRNA from 1 species